rnacentral:rRNA from 1 species
ACUCAAAGGAAUAGACGGGGGCCCGCACAAGCGGUGGAACAUGUGGUUCAAUUCGACGCAACGCGAAGAACCUUACCUGGGCUUGAACCGCACAGGACCCUCCCUGGAAACAGGGACUUCCCGCAAGGGACCUGUGUAGAGGUGCUGCAUGGCUGUCGUCAGCUCGUGCCGUGAGGUGUUGGGUUAAGUCCCGCAACGAGCGCAACCCUUACUCAUAGUUGCUACCCGCAAGGGAGAACUCUAUGAGGACUGCUCCGGAUAACGGAGAGGAAGGUGGGGAUGAGGUCAAGUCAGCAUGGCCUUUAUGUCCAGGGCUACACACGUGUUACAAUGCGCGCCACAAAGUGUCGCGAACCCGCGAGGGGGAGCUAAUCGCAAAAAAGCGCGCUCAGUUCGGAUUGCAGUCUGCAACUCGACUGCAUGAAGCCGGAAUCGCUAGUAAUGGCGUAUCAGAUCGACGCCGUGAAUACGUUCCCGGGCCUUGUACACACCGCCCGU